rnacentral:rRNA from 1 species
CCUACGGGAGGCAGCAGUGAGGAAUAUUGGUCAAUGGACGAGAGUCUGAACCAGCCAAGUAGCGUGAAGGAUGACUGCCCUAUGGGUUGUAAACUUCUUUUAUAUGGGAAUAAAAUGUUCCACGUGUGGGAUUUUGUAUGUACCAUAUGAAUAAGGAUCGGCUAACUCCGUGCCAGCAGCCGCGGUAAUACGGAGGAUCCGAGCGUUAUCCGGAUUUAUUGGGUUUAAAGGGAGCGUAGGUGGAUUGUUAAGUCAGUUGGGAAAGUUUGCGGCUCAACCGUAAAAGUGCAGUUGAAACUGGGAGGCUAGAGGGCAGGAGAGGUGGGCGGAAUUCGGGGUGUAGCGGGGAAAUGCUUAGAUAUCA